CCCUUAGAUGUUCUGGGCCGCACGCGUGCUACACUGAGUGGAUCAGCGGGUCGGGUUGCGCGAAAGUGUUUCCUAAUCUUGAAAUCCGCUCGUGAUGGGGAUUGACGGUUGCAAUUUUCUGUCAUGAACGAGGAAUACCUUGUAAGCGCGGGUCAUCAUCCCGCGCUGAAUACGUCCCUGCCCUUUGUACACACCGCCCGUCGCUCCUACCGAUUGAGUGGUCCGGUGAGGCUUUGGGAUCUGGAUGGAAAGAGCGUUUCGCUGUUUCUGCCCGGAAAACUCAGUCGAACCUUAUCAUUUAGAGGAAGGAGAAGUCGUAACA
rnacentral:rRNA from 1 species